CACUUGCACAUGUAUCACAUGUGCAAAUUUUUCAGUGUGAGCAGAGCAACAUAAGCAAACUAGUGCUCGGGGAUUGUGCCACUAUCUUGAUUUUGGCAAGGACGUUUAUGGAUUUGCAUGUGCGAGGUUUGAUCACAUUUUGGGACAUGUGCAAAGACUGGGCUCUACCGUAUUUCAUUUUCUUUUCUUUUACUCCAUUUAACUUCACUCAAGGGCGAUUCAGAAAUACUAAAAUUUCCUAUAUCCGUACCCUGAACUUUUGAAGUUUGAGACUAUUUCUGGACUGUAUUUCUCACAUUUUGAAAUCAGUGCUGUAUCUCUUCUUUUUGUCAAUUAAGCACAACAGAGACCUAAGAUUUACUUUAUUUUAUUGAUUGUUCUUCAUCAGUACUUACUCCCAUCGAUCGCUGUCCUUCUGAGAGAUAGCUGUCAGAAUAAAACCCCUAAUAUAUACUUUUUUGUAUUGUGUGGCGUUUCCUUACAACCCAUAGGCCACAUUUUGGUAACAGGAGUGGGGCAUCUGACUGUUGGGAGUCUAUAGUCUUUUUUAUGUUUUGAAAUACGGUAGAGCUGAAGAUAGGUGCUUGUGGAAUACGGAGUGAAGGCAAACUUUCUGAGUGCGGUUGUCCAGCGAACAGACGUUGGCUGGCUGGAGGUGACAAUACUGCUAAGCGAGAGGAAGAAGAGUGCCUUAUCCAUUGUGGUCUGCAUCGUGCUUUCCAAGGAGACGCCUAUCAAGAGACUGUCUAAAAAGGAAGAGGGAUGUAUUCUAUGAGGAGCUGAGAACAUAUCCUUUGACUCCCAAAUAAUAACGAACUGAUUAAGAGACUAUUUUUGUCCAAAGCAACUGUUUCCAUUUUGUUAAACUGAAGAAAAUUGUAUACAACAAUGUCACAAUCAGAUGAUGUUGCUCCACUUUUACCAGUUGAUGAGUACGGUGAUGAACAGGGUGCAAGUAGUGGUAGGCAUGACAUGUACGUACAAAUUCAAGAACUUAAUAGAAAGCGUGAGGAAACUAUGGCAGCAAUUGCUAACUUAAGUAGAGAGCCAACCAGGUCUUACAUUUAUGUACCAAGAGAACGUCACAUACAACCAUUCAGUGGUGAUUUGAACAAAGAUGUGAGAUAUGUUGACGAGUUUAUUGAAGAGGUAGAGAGGUUGAUGCAUGCUAGAAGUCAGACUAUGGAAGACCAGUUAGACUUUGUCCUCUCACUUUUUAAAGGGACAGCUUUAGAGGAGGUCGAAUGGGGAAUGAUGCAAAACAUCCAUGUGACAUUUUUG